rnacentral:rRNA from 1 species
GACGAACGCUGGCGGCGUGCCUAAUACAUGCAAGUCGACCUUAGUGGCGGACGGGUGAGUAAUGCCUAGGAAUCUGCCUGGUAGUGGGGGAUAACGUCCGGAAACGGGCGCUAAUCCCGCAUACUAUCAGAUGAGCCUAGGUCGGAUUAGCUAGUGGGUGGGGUAAAGGCCUACCAAGGCGACGAUCCGUAACUGGUCUGAGAGGAUGAUCAGACACACUGGAACUGAGAAACGGUCCAGACUCCUACGGGAGGAAGCAGUGGGGAAUAUUGGGCAAUGGGCGCAAGCCUGAUCCAGCCAUGCCGCGUGUGGGAAGAAGGUCUUCGGAUUGUAAAGCACUUUAAGUAGGGAGGAGGUACCAACAGAAUAAGCACCGGAUAACUUCGUGCCAGCAGCCGCGGUAAUUC